rnacentral:rRNA from 1 species
ACGAAGGGUGCAAGCGUUAAUCGGAAUUACUGGGCGUAAAGGGCGUGUAGGCGGUGCGGUAAGUUGGGCGUGAAAUCCCCGGGCUUAACUCGGGGGGGUCGUUCAAGACUGCCGUGCUAGAGUGCAGGAGAGGGAAGUGGAAUUCCCGGUGUAGCGGUGAAAUGCGCAGAUAUCGGGAGGAACACCGGUGGCGAAGGCGGUUCUCUGGGCCUGUUCUGACGCUGAGGAGCGAAAGCGUGGGGAGCGAACAGGA